AUGGAUUCAAAACCGUCAACGUCUAAAAAUAAAUAUACUUUUAGUUUUAAACUUAAAGUUAUAAAAUUUGCCGAAGAAAAAGGGAAACAUGCUGCAGCAAAAUUUUUCAAUGAUGACAGAAAACGUGUGCGAGAAUGGUCCCAAAAUAAAUCAAAAAUUGAAAAUGGAUCAAAAACUCAAAAAAGACUACCCGGUGCUGGACGGCCUGUUAAGUACAAGGAAAUUGAUCAGAAAUUGAUGAUAUGGUUUAAGGAAAAACGGAGUGCGGGAAUUCGUGUGACAGGAAAAGCAAUGCGAAUUGAAGCAUUGAGACUUCACAAGGAGAAUGGAAGCCAAUCGUUUAAGGCAUCUCUUGGAUGGUUUAAUAAAUUUAAAAGGCGUCAUAAAAUUACGUUCCGACGAGCAACGCAUAUAGCCCAACACUCAAAAUCAAUUGUUGAUGACCGCAUUGACAAAUUUCUAAACUUUGUUAUCCGUAUGAGAUGGUUUCGAGGGUAUGCUACGAGUGAAAUCGGGAAUAUGGACGAAACUCCUGUAUGGUUUGAAAUGCCAGGGAAAUCCACAUUAGCAGAAUGUGGAGAGAGAGAGAUAUGUAUGUCAUCAACAGGACACAAAAAGGAAAAAUUGACAGUCACGCUAGCUGCAUAUGCUGAUGGCACAAAGCUGCCUCCUUUAGUUCAUUUACACGGGGUUCGUCCACUUCCAAAAAAUGAUAUACCAAACGGUGUUGUUGUAUACAUGUGGGGUUCAGGAAAGAAAUCUUGGGCCAAUGAGGAUAGUAUAUACUUUUGGUUGAAAAGAGUGUGGGGUUUAAACAAUCAAAAACGGCGAUUACUUGUAUGGGAUGCAUUUAGAGCACAUAUCACUCCGAGAGUAAAGGAAUCAGUACGAAUGAAGUACAAUUAUGACAUGGCUGUAAUUCCUGGAGGCUGCACUUCAAAAUUACAAUCAGCUGAUGUUUCGUGGAAUAGGCCAUUUUUAAAAUCAUAA
rnacentral:sRNA from 1 species